rnacentral:rRNA from 1 species
CCUGGUGUCUAUAGCAAAGUGGAAACACCCGUUCUCAUCCCGAACACGGAAGUUAAGCGCUUUUGCGGCGAUGGUACUGCAUUUAAGAGUGUGGGAGAGUAGCACGAUGCCAGGG